rnacentral:rRNA from 1 species
UCCGAGUCGCACGAUGAAGCCCGUGCUUGCACGGGUGGAUUAGUGGCGAACGGGUGAGUAUCACGUGAGUAACCUGCCCUUGACUCUGGGAUAAGCCUGGGAAACUGGGUCUAAUACCGGAUAUGACCAGUCCUCGCAUGAGGUGCUGGUGGAAAGAUUUUAUCGGUCUUGGAUGGACUCGCGGCCUAUCAGCUAGACGGUGAGGUAACGGCUCACCGUGGCGAUGACGGGUAGCCGGCCUGAGAGGGUGACCGGCCACACUGGGACUGAGACACGGCCCAGACUCCUACGGGAGGCAGCAGUGGGGAAUAUUGCACAAUGGGCGCAAGCCUGAUGCAGCGACGCCGCGUGCGGGAUGACGGCCUUCGGGUUGUAAACCGCUUUCAGCAGGGAAGAAGCUUUUGUGACGGUACCUGCAGAAGAAGCGCCGGCUAACUACGUGCCAGCAGCCGCGGUAAUACGUAGGGCGCGAGCGUUAUCCGGAAUUAUUGGGCGUAAAGAGCUCGUAGGCGGCUUGUCGCGUCUGCUGUGAAAGCCCGGGGCUUAACCCCGGGUGUGCAGUGGGUACGGGCAGGCUAGAGUGCAGUAGGGGAGACUGGAAUUCCUGGUGUAGCGGUGAAAUGCGCAGAUAUCAGGAGGAACACCGAUGGCGAAGGCAGGUCUCUGGGCUGUUACUGACGCUGAGGAGCGAAAGCAUGGGGAGCGAACAGGAUUAGAUACCCUGGUAGUCCAUGCCGUAAACGUUGGGCACUAGGUGUGGGGGACAUUCCACGUUUUCCGCGCCGUAGCUAACGCAUUAAGUGCCCCGCCUGGGGAGUACGGCCGCAAGGCUAAAACUCAAAGGAAUUGACGGGGGCCCGCACAAGCGGCGGAGCAUGCGGAUUAAUUCGAUGCAACGCGAAGAACCUUACCAAAGGCUUGACAUGGACCGGAUCGCUGCAGAGAUGUAGUUUCCCUUCGGGGCUGGGUUCACAGGUGGUGCAUGGUUGUCGUCAGCUCGUGUCGUGAGAUGUUGGGUUAAGUCCCGCAACGAGCGCAACCCUNGUCCUAUGUUGCCAGCACGUAAUGNGGGGACUCAUGGGANACU